GAUGAACGCUAGCGGCAGGCCUAACACAUGCAAGUCGAGGGGUAACAGGGUAGCAAUAUCGCUGACGACCGGCGCACGGGUGAGUAACACGUAUGCAACCUUCCUUUAACUGGGGGAUAGCCCGGAGAAAUUCGGAUUAAUACCCCAUAAUAUCACAGAAAGGCAUCUUUUUGUGAUUAAAGCUCCGGCGGUUAAAGAUGGGCAUGCGUACCAUUAGCUAGUUGGUGAGGUAACGGCUCACCAAGGCAACGAUGGUUAGGGUGUCUGAGAGGAUGAUCCCCGACACUGGUACUGAGACACGGACCAGAAUACUACGUGAGGCAGCAGUGAGUAAGAUUGUGCAAUGGGCGCAAGCCUGACCCAACCAUGCCGCGUGAAGGAUGAAGGCCCUAUGGGUUGUAAACUUCUUUUGUACGGGACGAAACUCCUGGUCGUGACCGGGAUUGACUGUACCGUGCGAAUAAGCAUCGGCUAACUCCGUGCCAGCCGCCGCCGUAACAC
rnacentral:rRNA from 1 species